rnacentral:rRNA from 1 species
GAUGAACGCUGGCGGCGUGCCUAAUACAUGCAAGUCGAGCGAACAGACGAGGAGCUUGCUCCUCUGACGUUAGCGGCGGACGGGUGAGUAACACGUGGAUAACCUACCUAUAUGACUGGGAUAACUUCGGGAAACCGGAGCUAAUACCGGAUAAUAUAUUGAACCGCAUGGUUCAAUAGUGAAAGACGGUUUUGCUGUCACUUAUAGAUGGAUCCGCGCCGCAUUAGCUAGUUGGUAAGGUAACGGCUUACCAAGGCAACGAUGCGUAGCCGACCUGAGAGGGUGAUCGGCCACACUGGAACGGGGACACGGUCCAUACGCCUACGAGAGGCAGCAGUAGGGAAUCUUCCGCAAUGGGCGAAAGCCUGACAGAGCAACGCCGCGUGAGUGAUGAAGGUCUUCGGAUCGUAAAACUCUGUUAUUAGGGAAGAACAAAUGUGUAAGUAACUAUGCACGUCUUGACGGUACCUAAUCAGAAAGCCACGGCUAACUACGUG